rnacentral:misc_RNA from 1 species
CAAAAAGCUAAUAAUACUGUGGCCUACCACGAUUUGAACUUGGAAUUUUGAUAUGAUUAAAAAUCUUAAAGGCCAAAAUAGAUUUCUUGAAUCAGAUCGUGUUUAUCUUAUAAUAUAAAUGCUCUAAUUCUUAAAAAAGGGAUUUUUUUUUUCCAAAAAUGUCUAUUGCUUAACAAUCUAUAGAGAUGAACCAUGAAAAUAAGGAAUUUUUCCAUAAUUCGCCUUAAAGCUCUAAAGUUUUUUUUUUCUAAUUAUUUUUAAUUGAAUUAUUUUUUUUUUAUUUAACUCCAAUUUAAACUAAGCAUGAUACUUUGCGGUUCUUAAAACGACUUUAAUACUAUUACACUAAAGCUCCCUGGUGAAUUUUCUUUUUCUUUUUUAAAUGGAUGGAUGGGUAGGUUGAUCACCAGCAUCUGGCAAAAGAUUAAUAAGCAUACUUUUCACUUUUUUUUUUUUAUUUAUAAGGGAGGAAAAGGUAAAAACAAUUAGUUUAAAGACUCUCAGCAUUUGGCAAAUGAUAAAGAAAACUUAAAAACUGAAAAUGGCUACUGCAAUAGAAUAAUUACAAUUGCACAGGACAGGCAUCAUGUCAAUGGACCAAAACGAUAAUGAAACUCAACAGGCAUGUGUUGUCUUUUCUAGUAAGCCACGCAAUUCUGGGUUAUCACCUUAUUUGCAUUGCUUUCCAGGCUUCCAGUCAUACUCAUAUGGUACAACAACAUCAUUUGUUUAAUACUUCACUUUGUAACUUCAUUGAUCAUUGAUGAGCUUGGCAAUAUAUGAAAACAGAGGGUACUAUAGACUCAAUGAGAAGGUUGUUCAUUUGUAAUUGGAGAGCAAGAAAUCUAAUAGUGGAAACAACCUCUUUAUAUAAAGCAAGGGGAAAGCAGGGAGGCCAAUCCUAGUUCCCCUGCAAUGAAGGAUCUCACCACUCCCAAAACCCAUUUAAAUACCAUUUGCAUCACUGUAGGACAAGUCUUGUUAAAGUCAGCCUGCACACAUUUUCAUAGUAGCAUAUAUUUUCAAUUAUGCAUUAUAUGCGGUCAGGGUACCGUUCCAAAAAAAAAAGGGUACCAUAUUGAAAAUUUGGAGUAAAGAAACAAAAGGACUUGGGUAAAGUGAGGAACAGCAGAAUAGUUCAGAUGAUACAGGAAAGUGACAGCACAGAACUAUCAACUUUAAGCCAAAAAAACUAAUCACUGACCAGGCCAGAGUAGAGAUUCAUUACUCUGCAUUUUCAAAAUAGAAACUCACUCGCUAAUUUCUGAGGAAGUAAGGAAAUCCAGAAUCCUGAUGCAGUGAUGCUAAGUACACAGAAUUUUCAUCAACAGAAGAGAGAGUACUCUCUGCAGAUUGUAUAAUUUUUCCCCCAUUUUUUCCUAAUUAGGCCUCCUCAAGUCCAACCUUUUGCUACCUCCAAUUUCACAGGGCAACUAAGAAUGCCAAUAGCAUAAAGGAGCUCCAAAAUGGGGCAUGCCUAUUUUCUCAUUUUGAAAUGAAUCAUUGAAGAAAUCAAAUAAGAUUAUAGGAAUCAAAGCGGGGGCUUCUACAUUUUGUUAUGGGGCCAAUCGUGGCAUUUAGUUUUGAUUCAUUAGGAAAGAGAUCUUAGAUUUGAGCUCGGGUGCUCUCUUGUAAAUGGUAAAGGUGUCAGCUGCAUGCUUUUGGCAUUCUUUGUCAUAGUAAACAGAUAAACUUUGAAGUUGUGGAGGAGUUGAGUAGACCCAAAAGUUAUUCCAGUCCCUUUCAAUAUAAAACUCAAGAUCAUAGACAUUACUUUCAUUCCAUGUUCAACAUGCACUACACGCUAAAUGCUAUUGCAAGAUGUCCUCAUGUGCCUCAAACAAUAUUGAGCCAAAAAAAGUAAAGGAAGGAAAAAAAAAAUUCCUGUGGCAUGGUGGAUCGAGAGGUUACAAGAGAGCAUGGUUGUCUUUUUCUCUUAAAAAGAAAGAAAGAAAGAAAGAA